CAGGUUUAGUAAUUGGAAUGAGAACAAUUUAAAACCCUUAUCGAGUAUCAAUUGGAGGGCAAGUCUGGUGCCAGCAGCCGCGGUAAUUCCAGCUCCAAUAGCGUAUAUUAAAGUUGUUGCGGUUAAAAAGCUCGUAGUUGGAUUUCUGCAUGGAAGGAGCGGUCCACCCAUUGGGCGAGUUACUGCUACCUUUGAUGCAUCUUUCUGAGGACGUGUUCUUCACUUAAUUGUGAGGGCGCAGGACUCAGAACAUUUACUUUGAGGAAAUGAGAGUGUUUCAAGCAGGCAAAUGCCUUGAAUACGUUAGCAUGGAAUAAUAGCAUCGGACCAUCGUCCAGCUGUUGGUGUCUGGGCGAAGGUAAAGGUGAAUAGGGAUUGUUGGGGGCAUUCGUAUUUAACUGUCAGAGGUGAAAUUCUUGGAUUUGUUGAAGACGGACCACUGCGAAAGCAUCUGCCAAAGAUGUUCUCAUUGAUCAAGAACGAAAGUUAGGUGAUCGAAGACGAUCAGAUACCGUCCUAGUCUUAACCAUAAACUAUGCCGACUGGAGAUAGGAAGCGUUUAUCUUACGACUCUUUCUGCAUCUUGAGAGAAAUCAAAGU
rnacentral:rRNA from 1 species